rnacentral:rRNA from 1 species
UACCAGCUCUCCGAGUUGUAGGGACGAUUAUUGGGCUUAAAGCGUCCGUAGCUGGCUUAGCAAGUCUCCUGUUAAAUUCAGCGACCUAAUCGUUGAGCCGCGGGAGAUACUACUAGGCUAGGAGGCGGGAGAGGUCGACGGUACUUUCGGGGUAGGGGUGAAAUCCUAUAAUCCCGGGAGGACCACCAGUGGCGAAGGCUGUCGACUAGAACGCGCUCGACGGUGAGGGACGAAAGCUGGGGUAGCGAACCGGAUUAGAUACCCGGGUAGUCCCAGCUGUAAACUAUGCGGGCUAGGUGUUGGGGUGGCUACGGGCCACUUCAGUGCCGCAGGAAAGCCAUUAAGCCCGCCGCCUGGGGAGUACGGCCGCAAGGCUGAAACUUAAGGAAUUGGCGGGGAGCACCACAAGGCGUGAAGCUUGCGGUUC